rnacentral:rRNA from 1 species
AAUGAACGCUGGCGGCGUGCUUAACACAUGCAAGUUGAGCGGUAAGGCCCCUUCGGGGGUACACGAGCAGCGAACGGGUGAGUAACGCGUGGGUAAUCUACCUAGAGGUGGAGGAUAGCCUCGGGAAACCGGGGGUAAUACUGCAUACGUCCCGACUGACAUAAGUCUAACGGGGGAAAGGCGGGGAUCUUCGGACCUGUCGCCUCUGGAUGAGCCCGCGUCCGAUUAGCUAGUUGGUGAGGUAAUGGCUCACCAAGGCAUCGAUCGGUAGCCGGCCUGAGAGGGUGAACGGNCACAUUGGGACUGAGACACGGNCCAGUCUCCUACGGGAGGCAGCAGUGGGGAAUUUUGGGCAAUGGGGGAAACCCUGACCCAGCGACGCCGCGUGGAGGAUGAAGGCCUUCGGGUUGUAAACUCCUGUCAGGUGGGAAGAAGAGCUCAGUGGCUAAUAUCCACUGGGAAUUGACGGUACCACCAAANGAAGCCCCGGCUAACUCCGUGCCANCAGCCGCGGUAAUACGGAGGGGGC